rnacentral:rRNA from 1 species
CGGCGGACGGGUGAGUAACACGUGGAUAACCUACCUAUAAGACUGGGAUAACUUCGGGAAACCGGAGCUAAUACCGGAUAACAUAUUGAACCGCAUGGUUCAAUAGUGAAAGGCGGCUUUGCUGUCACUUAUAGAUGGAUCCGCGCCGUAUUAACUAGUUGGUAAGGUAACGGCUUACCAAGGCAACGAUACGUAGCCGACCUGAGAGGGUGAUCGGCCACACUGGAACUGAGACACGGUCCAG